CAGGUUCAGCUGCAACAGUCUGACGCUGAGUUGGUGAAACCUGGAGCUUCAGUGAAGAUAUCCUGCAAGGUUUCUGGCUACACCUUCACUGACCAUACUAUUCACUGGAUGAAGCAGAGGCCUGAACAGGGCCUGGAAUGGAUUGGAUAUAUUUAUCCUAGAGAUGGUAGUACUAAGUACAAUGAGAAGUUCAAGGGCAAGGCCACAUUGACUGCAGACAAAUCCUCCAGCACAGCCUACAUGCAGCUCAACAGCCUGACAUCUGAGGACUCUGCAGUCUAUUUCUGUGCAAGA